rnacentral:rRNA from 1 species
UGCGCAGGCGGUUAUAUAAGACAGAUGUGAAAUCCCCGGGCUCAACCUGGGAACUGCAUUUGUGACUGUAUAGCUAGAGUACGGCAGAGGGGGAGUGGAAUUCCGCGUGUAGCAGUGAAAUGCGUAGAUAUGCGGAGGAACACCGAUGGCGAAGGCAAUCCCCUGGGCCUGUACUGACGCUCAUGCACGAAAGCGUGGGGAGCGAACA